CACACACUCAUGUACACAUAAUACAAACACACUUUGAGUGUGUCUCUCUGUCUCCUUCAUACAUAUUCUCACCUCUUGCUCAUCAGUUUGACUUCUAGCUUAAAAUAUCCUUUCUUCACUGCAUCUCGCCCUCUCAAUCACUUCCCAUAGGAAUGAUGAAUCACAACUGAGAUUGUUUCUCUCAUUUGUUUCUCCUAGGCAGAUUUAAGAAUAAAUGGAGAGCCCAAGGCCACACAAGAUUGCUCUGUUUGUCUGAACAUCCCAAAAAGCCCAACACCGCAUCAUCAUUGUGUGCCGUGGGACAGACCCUCAGUGAGCGGAGGAAUCGUGAUCGAGGCAAACACCGGCCCACCUGCGAUCCGGAUCGGGUUCUGUGCUCUCCACUGGUGGCAGGGAGGUAUGAUAACAGCUUCGUCCUGAUCCCUAUCGCUCCUGAUCUCCUCUACUAUGGUGGUACAACAGAUUUGUUGUCUGUACUGCGGUGGUAUCAAUUCAUGUCAAGUCAAGUCAAGUCCGCUUUAUUGUCAAUUCUUC